rnacentral:rRNA from 1 species
CCUACGGGUGGCAGCAGUGAGGAAUAUUGGUCAAUGGCCGAAAGGCUGAACCAGCCAAGUCGCGUGAAGGAAGACGGCGCUACGGGUUGUAAACCUCUUUUGUCAGGGAGCAAAACGAGUCACGUGUGACUCAUUGAGAGUACCCGAAGAAAAAGCAUCGGCUAACUCCGUGCCAGCAGCCGCGGUAAUACGGAGGAUGCGAGCGUUAUCCGGAUUUAUUGGGUUUAAAGGGUGCGCAGGCGGAGGUGCAAGUCAGCGGUCAAAUUGCGGGGCUCAACCCCGUACUGCCGUUGAAACUGCAUGCCUUGAGUGCGCGAGAAGUAUGCGGAAUGCGUGGUGUAGCGGUGAAAUGCAUAGAUAUCACGCAGAACUCCGAUUGCGAAGGCAGCAUACCGGCGCGCAACUGACGCUCAUGCACGAAAGCGUGGGUAUCGAACAGGAUUAGAUACCCCUGUAGUC